GAUGAACGCUGGCGGCGUGCUUAACACAUGCAAGUCGAACGGAAAGGCUCCUGCUUGCAGGGGUACUCGAGUGGCGAACGGGUGAGUAACACGUGGGUGAUCUGCCCUGCACUUCGGGAUAAGCCUGGGAAACUGGGUCUAAUACCGGAUAGGACGAUGGAUUGGAUGCCAUUGUGGAAAGUUUUUUCGGUGUGGGAUGAGCUCGCGGCCUAUCAGCUUGUUGGUGGGGUAAUGGCCUACCAAGGCGUCGACGGGUAGCCGGCCUGAGAGGGUGUACGGCCACAUUGGGACUGAGAUACGGCCCAGACUCCUACGGGAGGCAGCAGUGGGGAAUAUUGCACAAUGGGCGCAAGCCUGAUGCAGCGACGCCGCGUGGGGGAUGACGGCCUUCGGGUUGUAAACUCCUUUCGCUAGGGACGAAGCGCAAGUGACGGUACCUGGAGAAGAAGCACCGGCUAACUACGUG
rnacentral:rRNA from 1 species